rnacentral:lncRNA from 1 species
CCAAGCCACAGUCCCAUGGCUUCUUGCUGUCUGCCCAUGAUUGGAGGAGAGGGAUUAGGUCACCUCCUGGCUGCUUCGACUGGCAACAGGUUGGGUCCUCCUUGGGUCCCAGAGUCAUUGGCUCCCGAAAAGUCCUUCUCACCAAGCAUGCUGAGGAUGGUCUCUGUCUUAUGCCAACGUUGAAGUUUCACUAUGCUUUCUGCUGGCACUUCGGGAAGAGAAGGCAGAACCUUCUUGGCUAUGGAGGCCCCAAAUACUCAGUCUGAAAGUACAGACAUGGAACAAGGGCUGUGGGGUUCAGUCUGACUCUAUUUUUUUUAAAGAUUUUUUAUUUAUUUAUUUGAAAGUCAGAGUUAUACAGAGAGAGGAGAAGCAGAGAGAGAGAGAGAGAGAGGUCUUCCAUCCGCUGGUUCACUCCCCAGAUAGCCGCAAUGGCCGGAGCUGCGCCAAUCCGAAGCCAGGAGCCAGGAGCUUCCUCCAGGUCUCCCACUUGGGUGCAGGGGCCCAAGGACUUGGGCCAUCUUCUAGUGCUAUCCCAGGCCACAGCAGAGAGCUGGAUCUGAAGAGGAGCAGCCGGGACUAGAACUGGCGCCCAUAUGGGAUGCCGGCGCUUCAGGCCAGGGCAUUAACCCACUGCGCCACAGCACCAGCCCCUCUAUUAUUAUUUUUUUUUUACAGUGAAUCAGGCACUGAGAUUCAGUUCCCUCUCGUUGUCCCAAGCAGAUGGUGUCUCUCUCCAUGCUGUACUCCUUGAAGCUGUGGAAGGGGUGAUGUGGGCAACUCUCUCCUUCCUGCUUUAGUCAACGCAACUUUUCUUAAUAUUCUAAAAUGCAUGGCGGUCUCCUGGCAUCUGUAGCUCUUGUGACAGUGACUUGGUGUGUAGAUAACUCUUCAUAAUUGUCUCUAUGGGGAGGUGGUCACCAGAGUGUCUCAUGGAUCUACCAUCUUAGUUCCCACUCUCAAACGUUUUUAAAUGCAGUAUAACUUGAAGAAAAUUAUAGUAAAUUGAGUUUAAAAUACUUUAUAUUAAUUUUAAAAAUCUAUUUUGGAGAGACAAAGAAUGGGAAGGAGAAUCUGUUGGGAGGACAAUGGCACCUUUUCUCACUGUGAAUAUCAACAAUGAAAGGAGAAAGGAGCAAAUAUUUACUGGGGCUUCUGAUAAGAAAGUAUACCUCAUUCCCACUUCAGGGAAAGUGCUCUUAGAGAAGACCAUGACCUAAUAAAUGCACUAGCAAUGAGUAAAUGAAGAGUCA